rnacentral:rRNA from 1 species
UAACUUUCAACAACGGAUCUCUUGGCUCUUGCAUCGAUGAAGAACGCAGCGAAAUGCGAUAAGUAAUGUGAAUUGCAGAAUUCCGUGAAUCAUCAAAUCUUUGAACGCAAAUUGCACUCUUUGGUAUUCCGAAGAGUAUGCUUGCUUGAGGGUUGGA